UACGUAGGGUGCAAGCGUUGCCCGGAAUUAUUGGGCGUAAAGAGCUCGUAGGCGGUCUGUUGCGUCGGCUGUGAAAACCCGGGGCUCAACUCCGGGCCUGCAGCCGAUACGGGCAGACUAGAGUUCGGCAGGGGAGACUGGAAUUCCUGGUGUAGCGGUGAAAUGCGCAGAUAUCAGGAGGAACACCGGUGGCGAAGGCGGGUCUCUGGGCCGAUACUGACGCUGAGGCGCGAAAGCGUGGGGAGCAAACAGG
rnacentral:rRNA from 1 species